rnacentral:rRNA from 1 species
UACGGAGGGGACUAGCGUUGUUCGGAAUUACUGGGCGUAAAGCGCACGUAGGCGGAUACUUAAGUCAGGGGUGAAAUCCCGGGGCUCAACCCCGGAACUGCCUUUGAUACUGGGUAUCUCGAGUCCGGAAGAGGUGAGUGGAAUUCCGAGUGUAGAGGUGAAAUUCGUAGAUAUUCGGAGGAACACCAGUGGCGAAGGCGGCUCACUGGUCCGGUACUGACGCUGAGGUGCGAAAGCGUGGGGAGCAAACAGG